UGGGGAAUUUUCCGCAAUGGGCGAAAGCCUGACGGAGCAAUACCGCGUGAGGGAGGAAGGCUCUUGGGUCGUAAACCUCUUUUCUCAAGGAAGAAUGCAAUGACGGUACUUGAGGAAUAAGCAUCGGCUAACUCCGUGCCAGCAGCCGCGGUAAUACGGAGGAUGCAAGCGUUAUCCGGAAUGAUUGGGCGUAAAGGGUCUGUAGGUGGUACUGAAAGUCUGCUGUUAAAGAGCAAGGCUCAACCUUGUAAGAGCAGUGGAAACUACAGAACUGGAGAGCAGUAGGGGUAGCAGGAAUUCCCAGUGUAGCGGUGAAAUGCGUAGAGAUUGGGAAGAACAUCGGUGGCGAAAGCGUGCUACUGGGCUGUAUCUGACACUCAGGGACGAAAGCUAGGGGAGCGAAAG
rnacentral:rRNA from 1 species